UUGGAGGGCAAGUCUGGUGCCAGCAGCCGCGGUAAUUCCAGCUCCAAUAGCGUAUAUUAAAGUUGUUGCAGUUAAAAAGCUCGUAGUUGAAUUUCGGGAUCAAAUAAUCGGUCGUGCCUUCGGUACGUACUGGUUUUAUUGGUUCCUCCCUUCUGACGAACCAUGAUGUCAUUAAUUUGAUGUGGUGGAGAAUCAGGACUGUUACCUUGAAAAAAUUAGAGUGUUUAAAGCAGGCUAACGCUUGAAUACAUUAGCAUGGAAUAAUGAAAUAGGACGUUCGACCCUAUUUUGUUGGUUUCUAGGAUCGACGUAAUGAUUAAUAGGGAUAGUUGGGGGCAUUAGUAUUCAAUUGUCAGAGGUGAAAUUCUUGGAUUUAUUGAAGACUAACUACUGCGAAAGCAUUUGCCAAGGAUGUUUUCAUUAAUCAAGAACGAAAGUUAGGGAGAGUACGAAGAACGUAUACGAAGUAACCGUACCGGUACGUUACGUUAACCCUUAAACCUAAACUUAAAACUUAGUCCGGACCCGUAACGGUAAGGGUACGGUACGGUAGUAGUAGUUAAGUUUUUUAAAAUUUUUUAAGUAACGU
rnacentral:rRNA from 1 species